rnacentral:sRNA from 1 species
ACCCAAUUCCCGUGAUCGAGGAAC